rnacentral:sRNA from 1 species
GCCGGGUGCGGUGGCCCACGCCUGUCAUCCCAGCGGCUGGGGAGACUGAGACAGGAGGAUCGCCAGUUGGAGGCCAGCCUCAGCCACUUAGCGAGGCCCUGAGCAACUCAGGGAGACCCUGUCUCUA